AAUCAAACCCAGGGCCUUGAGCAGGCUAGGCAAGCCCUCUCUCAUUGAGCUACAUUCCCCAGCCCUGUUUCUUAAUAUUUGAAGAAAUGAUUUGAAUGCCCUUAAGUCUCAGGUAAAUAACAUGAAUGAACAAUUGAAUAAAUAAUUGACAUAACAAAUAAACAAAUAGUUCACAGUUGAAUAUCCAUGAUGUUUAUGACUGGACAUUUUUAUAUAAUAUAAGCUUAAGUGUUUUAUUAAUCAUGUGCCUGGAUUUUGUAUUCUUUCUUAACAUUCUCCAUACAGAUUUGGUUCUUUAUUGAUUCUACUUUUUUUUUUUUCAAUACCAGGGAUUGGACUUAUUGAUUCUAAUAUAGAACUUCCUUGUUGAAUUGAAGGAGGGUAACAUAUUGAAAAAUAUGCCUAAUUGUUGAGGGACCAAGGUAUUUAUGAGGAAACCUAUGAGAAUAUCCCAGGCCAGUCAAAGAUCACAUUCCUCUUACAAGCCAUCAGGAAAAGGAAUGACCACCACUGCUGAUGAGGCUAGACAAAUGGCUGCUGUUCUGCUAAGACACCUUUUGUCCUCUGCAUUUGAUGACGUUUACCCAGCUCUUCCAUCGGAUGUUCAGACUGCCAUCAAGAGUGAGCUACUAAUGAUUAUUCAGAUGGAAACACAAUCUAGCAUGAGGAAAAAAAUUUGUGAUAUUGCUGCAGAACUGGCCAGGAAUCUAAUAGGAACUUUCCUGGAAUUUUUGGGAACCAACAGCAGCACUAUUUAG
rnacentral:lncRNA from 1 species